rnacentral:lncRNA from 1 species
GUUAACUAACCUCUAUGUACAAAAGCAAAAAGUCUCAUGUCAUUUAUGACUUGGUUAUCUUCUAUAUCCAAAUUCCUUUUCGAAUUAUAAUACAAAAAUGAUAUCUGAAAAUCAUUUUUGGAAGAGAGCGAGCAUGCGAGAGCGAGAAAUGGGGAGCGAGCGAGGUCAUCUCAGAUCAGCAGCACUCCACACCUAGCUUCCAGUUCAAAUCUACUCCCUAACCUCUUUUUUAACUUGAUCGAAGGACCUCGAGUGAGACCUCGGCUCCAUGCCUUCCAGUGACCGCGAAUGAGAUCAUUUCGCGAGCAACAGUUUUCCACAUCCGACGAGCGACAGAUACAACUACCAGAAGAUAGGAGGAAACCUCGCUAUUGGUUUUUGACCUUCAAGCCGAGGAUUAGCACGCCACAUCUAUUCCAUAUAUCUUAUCUACUUUUAGUUGUUUAGUUAAUUGACCUGUAAUCUUUUAAUUUUCUGUUUAAUCAAAAUCGCCUUUAAAAAAAAAAAGAUAUCUGAAAAUCAUCUCAUAUACCCAUAGUUAAAAUUUGAAAUCGAUUGAUACGAAAUUAUGAUUAAACUAUAUAUAAGAUUUUAAAAUAAUUAACUGACU